rnacentral:lncRNA from 1 species
AGAGCAAUCUCUUAGAUGUCAUUUAAUCAUCAAAACAUGCUUAAGAGAGAUAUCAUUAAAGAUGUUCAGAUGAGGGACCUGAACAUCUGAGGGACUUUUCCCUCAGAGAGGGAAAGUGACCUGUCCAGAGCCACCCAGCCUGAAUGGCCCGGGUCUGCUGCUCCAUGGAUCAAAGGCCAAGGUGCUCCCCCAUGGCACCUCCAGGCACCCGCCCUCCCCAACACAGAACUGCAGGGAUCACGGUGUUCUCAAGCUUGGGUGUGAGGCUAUGCCGGUGGAGGCCAAGGGUACUGGGAAAUGUCUUUGUACGGGGCAUGGGAGGCCAUUAGCACCCUUGGAGAGUGCAGUCCCCCCAGCCGAGGGGGCAGAGCCCUUGGCGGGGGGCUGAGUGGGCAACUGGAGAGACAGCAGGCCAGGGAGGGGCAUUUUCCAGCUCUGAGCAGCUUGAGCUCAUCGGAAGUCAGCAGGGAGACAGGCGGUGGAGUACAGGGUACACAGGCAGGAACUGAUGAUUCUGGUGCUGCCUUCUUGGUGCUGGGCCCCACCUGGGCCUUGGAACACUCACAGGGUACACAGGGUCCUGCUAUAGGAAGGGAGCUGAGGCUACGGGCUAAAGGCCCCUACCCCAUGGCACACAGGGGGCAGCAGCCAGGGCUGGGAUUCGAACCUGAGUUGGCCUGAGUCCAAAGCCAAACCUGAGAGUGGAGGAAGGGCUCCUCCCCAACUGGGACCUAAAGUGGGGCAGGGUAGGGCAUGUGGGGGCGACCCUAGGGUUCCAGGAGCUAUGGUGGGGCAAGAAGAAGCUUGCUGGGAGCCUGCGGAGAACUCGAGGCUGGGGUCAGCCCUGGGAGACUGUGCAGUGGGGUCACUACAGAGUGGCCAGGGAGAGUCCCAAGACCAGCCUAGGUUCUCCCACUCAGGGCCCGGGAGCAGUAGAAGGUCAACUCAGCUUUCACCCAUGUCCCUUGCCACUGACAAAAAUGACUACUACUUGGAGACUAGGUCAACUAGGAAGGACCCUCAGCUGCAUUUCAAACUAGUUUAAGCAAAAACAGGGAUAGCCCAAUGAUUAUAAAGAGACACGUUAUUAAGAGGACUCAAUGCUGGAAUUCUUUACCUUCUUUCUCUCUUUUCUGUACUUCUAUGUUCGCCUGUC